rnacentral:lncRNA from 1 species
UUUUUGAGACCAAAGCAGUAGAAGCACCGCUAGGACUAUAUAAAUAACCUGUUAAACUAAAAAUAGACACAUCAUUACAUAACAAACAAUUUUUUUUUUUAAGAAGGUAAAAUGAAAUAUAUUACUGAAAGUGUAAAGAUUUCAGCACAAUGAGUGCCGAAAACUCAGCUCAAAGAGUAACAAUUACAAUCAAAAACAAAUGGGGAACGAAAACAGGAAUUAACCAAAAAAGAAAGCUACCUAGUUCCAGGGGCACUUCCUAGUUCCAGAUUUCUGACGUGUGAGUUGCUGACAAGUUGUUGCUGGUUGGUGUAAACAGAUGGUUAUAAGCAUUUGUGACGUUAUAAGUGUUGGAAGCAUGUAAGUGCCAAAUCCACUUGUAAGAAUAAUCAGACUGCAAAACAAUAUUAGUUAAAAUAUUACAAUACUCCCGCACCUUCUCCUCCUCCCAAGCAAACAAACGACGCUGCCACUUCCAAGCUUCCCCCUCUUCCCCCCACCCAAGCGAAUACAAUUCAGCCACCGUUGCCAUUUUAUUAUUAGCAAGAUAAAAAAGACGGUCAAAACUAACCCAUCAAUCCAAGGAUCCCAACAAAAUAAAGUAUGAGCAUCAUCGCCUAUCUCCCGCCCAACAUUAUCAUCAAACCACCACCCACCUCCCACACCAGCCCCAUUUUUAUAUUUAAUAAAUUAUUCCACUAAACAGAGUUAAAUCGUCCCUCCUCUGCGAUUAUACCUCCUACCUCCCCAUAUCUACCUGCUAAAACUCUAUACCAUACAUAACAAACAAAUAAAUCUAAGGAGUUUAAUUUUAAUUAGGAAUCCAACUCUGAUACUCAAAAAUAAUAAUUAAAUUAUGAACUUAAUCUAAAAUUGGUAUUUUUAAUUUUAAUUUAGAAGUUUGAGAGUUAGGUAUAUUAAUUAUGGAAAGGAUAAAAAUGUGAUCCAUAUAUCAUUAGUUUUAAAUUAAAAAAACAAACAAAUUUUGCACAUUACAUAAUUGAUUUACCCUCAUUCGCAUGAAUUAAACAUGAUUAUGAAGUCAUGCAUUUCAAUCACAAAUAACACCACCAACUACGCAUUUUCUUCAUUCUCGAGCUAUUAAAUAUGACUCUUAGAAUUGUGUAUAUCAUGUGAGAGUUAAUAUCAUAUAUGUAAGAAAUACAAAGUGAUGGUAAAUUUUAACUCAUAUUAUAUUUAUGUAUUAUGCAUGUAUUAUCGGUCAAAUAAUUGAUUUUUAAUUACUCACAUAAAAUAUUUAGUAUUCAAUUAUUUGAAAGACAAAUUUUAAAUUACAUCAAUUAUCCUUGAUAAAAAAAUUACAUCAAUUAUCAUUUUGAACUUAGAUGAGUAACAUCACCAACAUUAAUUUUUAUUGUCAUUCAUUUGUUUUCAUCUAUAUGUUUAUAUUGUCUUACUUCCUCUCUUUCUUCUUUUUGCUCACAUGCCUGAAAAUAAAAGAUGUUUAUGAAAAUGCAUGAAGUACAAAUACAAAAGAUUAUUACUCGUUCCACAUUUACAUUUUUUUUUUUUGUUACAUACUAUUUCCACCGUUUCUUUUUAAGUGUCUUUUUAGGGUGAAUUUUCCGUUUCUAUUUUACUGUCAUUAUGGUAUUUUAAGGUUAUGAUUUAUCAAUUAUAUCUUUUGUCAAUUAUUCUUAUAUUUUUCAAUAAAACUAAUUAAUGUCGUAUAUUUGAAAAACUAAAGUUUGUUUGUUUUAUUUUAAAACAAAAUUUGUUUCCUGUUAUCAUCAAAUUUAAACAAAAUUUUGUUACCUGUGAUAAUAGUUCCAUGAAGAGUUAAAUUUUAUAAAUAACAUGAGUAGUACUUGCUAAAAAUUUCAAGAGAUAUGCAUAAUACUUAGAGAAUUGAAAAUUGUUUGUUAUGAGAGAAAGAUAAAGCGCGCAAAAAAAAUAGGAAUUUGUUGGAGAAGGAAAGUAGUAACUAACAAUUGUUUGUUACAUAUUAAAUUUAUUGGAAUCAUAAAAUGUGUGAAAAAAAUAGGAAAUUAUCAGUGGAUUAAAAUGAGGAUCCAAUAGGAAAAAUGCGUGCAAAAAUACACUUCGCUAUUUUUGUGUUAAAAAUUCUAAAACGACACUUAAAAAGGAACGGAGGGAGUAUAUAUUACUAAAAAAAAAAGGCGCGGCUUUAAGUAUGAGGCCUUAAGCGUUCAUCCAUUCUGACCGUGCUCAAAAUCACAACUAAGCAUCAAAAUCACAACUAGGUGGGAGGAGGUGGUGGAGGAGAUUAAAGUACUAUCGUGGAGGUGGUUGUUGGGUAGACUUAAUGUUCCGGCUUGUAUGUACUAUGAGUGGGUGUGGAGUCCUCGUGAUUGCUUGUCAAGAUAAAGGGGCUUGCUGGUUCUGUUAGCAGGUUUUUGUGGCCUGCUGUUGUGGUUUUUUCUGCAGGUUUUGGGUUCCUGGAAGCACACAUCAGCAGCUGUUCUGUUUGGCUGUUGCUUGCAGGGUGGGGUUUGCUAUUUGGUCUUAGUUUUACUGUUUGGUCUUCACGGUUUUUUACAGCUAUGAGGCUGUGUAUCGCCUGGUUUUUUGGGCUCUCUCUCCUUCAUUGUGUUAUAUUAGGUUGUGAGGCAGGGUAUUCUUUUGGCGCUAGCCUGGUGUAUAUCCCGGCCUCAUGAUUUAGGCGUUUAGGCUUGUUGCCUUUGGCUGGUUUUGUACUUUUGUUACUUUGCGCGAGUUGUUGGUGUUUCUUGUAACAACCCGAUUUUUAGCUAUAUUUACUUUAUUUAUUUUAUUAUGUGUUUGUGUGUGUGAUUAAUCAUCAUGGGUGCAUUUUCAUGGAUUUUCGUAUUAGAAGGGUAUUUUGGUAAUUUUGUGAGGAUGGGUAAAAUUAUAAUUUUUAGUGGGAAUUGCUUUUAGUAAUUAGUGAGAAUGGUUAUUUCAUUAAGUUACUAGAGAAAGUCGAGAUUUUACCGUCAGUAACAUUUUACCGUUAUUAAUUAAAAUAUCGUUUGGAGUGUAGUAAUAUUUUUGGUGUGAAUAGAGAAUGGGCUAAGUCCAUUAGGUUUUGGGUUAGGCCCAUUAGUAGGAUAUACCACAAAACAUUUGUCUUAGAGAAAACAUUAUUCAUUUCAUUUUGAGACAUUUCNUUGUCUUAGAGAAAACAUUAUUCAUUUCAUUUUGAGACAUUUCUAGAGAGAGAAAGAGGAAAGAGAAGAUAAGGGUUUGAAGAGAAGAACUUGAGGAAUCAAUUGGGUAAGCUUAGGAGCUAAAUUGAAGCCUAGGUUUGGUCUAAUCUUCAUCUAAGAUAAGGGGGUUAGUCUUUAUCAUAAUCAAGUUCAUUCUUUGCAAUUUUUCAAGAUUUGUAUGAAAUGGGUUGAAAUGAAUGAAUGGAUAAUUGUUGCUAAAUUUGUGCUCCAACUUUGAUGAUAUGUUUGUAUGUAUGAAUUGUUGAUGAUUGUAUGAUUGUUGGUGAAAUUACAUGUUUAAAUAUGUAAAAAGGAUAAGCUAUGAAUAUUGUGCUCAAUUGGUGAAUUCUCCUAGGUUGUCGUUAAUUUGAGAUGUGAUGCUUGUUCAAAUGAUGUUAUGAAUGUUAUUUGAUAUUAUGACUAAUGAAUAAUUGCUUGGGUUUGCAUAUUCAUGGAUUGUUAAUGAGAAUUUGAGUUGUGUUGGUGUUUUGGUGAAAAUGAAGAGUUAGCUCAAAUGUCAAGUGUUUUAAAGAUUGAAUGUGUCUAUGUGAGUCUUUUUAAUCAUAAUGACCUAUAAACAUGUUAUGGAAACAUAUUUUGGGAUUGGGGAAUCAAAUUGGAGGAUUUUGAGUGAAAGGGGUUCCAAACCCGUAAAAUUUCUACAAACCUAUGAAGGUUCGCUUAGAGGUUCGCUUAAGCGACCUGGUAAGCGAACAUUCAUAGUAUUUUUCUGGGUUCAGUUCGCUUAAGCGAACUGUGAGCGAACGAGUGAGCGAAGAUUUCUGGUUGCUACUGGAACUCGUUCGCUUAAGCGAACAUGUCGUCGCUUAAGCGAACUGGUGAGCGACCAGUCAGCGACCAGAAAGUGAACAAGGCGAGUUGCUACUGUAACUUGUUCGCUUAAGCGAACCAGAGGGUCGCUUAAGCGAACAGCUUCAGUUUCAGCCACCUUGAUCUUUCGUUCCGGGUCUUUGGGGGCCAAUCCGAGUUUUCUUAAAUGAUGUUUUAAACAUGUUUAACCAUUGUUAAUUCCCCAAAGCCUGCUGGAACAAUGAUUGCUUGCAUAUACUUGGAAUUUUUAAAAUGAGUUUUAACUUGUGAAAUUUUGAGGGUUCCAAACAUUGUCGGGAAACAAAUUUUGUAAUCCAAUGAGGCUUGCAAGUGAACCUACAACUCAUAUAGACUUAGGUGAUGCUUGCAAGGGUGGUCAAUACCUCAAUCAAAGUAAAAUGAUAUUUUUGAGUGGGAAAUGAAAGGUUGUGAAAAUGGGAUUCCUUUAUGAACUUAUGUUGUGCUUGGUCUAGUGUGAUAGUCCGAAGACGACUUAACUUCAUGUAAACAUUAUUGGGUAAGAUUGGUUAAUAGUGUUCAACUUGUUCUAGUUGUUUCGUUCCGAGAUAGCGUGGUGAAAUAUUCAUAUGAUUAAUGAGAUUGUGUUAAUGAUGUUAUUGAUUGUUGAUAGUCAAAUUGUUGUGUGAUGAUGAAUACUAUGAUUUAAUUGUGUGUGGGCAUGUUUUCUUGGUAAUGCAAUGUUGUGAAGAUAAUCAAUAUAAUUGGGUGUUGUCCUAUAUAUUGAGUUGAGAUUGAGAAUUGUUGUCGCAUUAUCGAGUCAUUACACAUGUCCAUGCAUCAUAGUCGUUGUUGCUGUAAAAGGGAUGACUCUUUUACUUCGAGAUUAUUGUAAGGCAGGUGUGAGCCCUUACAAUCGAUGUGCAAGUGGCAUCGAAAGGUGACGACCUUGUUGAGAUUUGGUACCGCAUGCAUUUAUGUGUCCAUAAGUGCAUAUCAUAGCAUGAGUCCUAUGUGAAUUAUGUGAUUGGUGAUGAAUUGAGAUGAAUGAAUGUUGAUAAUGAUUGUCUAUGAUUGAUGUUGUGAAUGAAUAUUUAUGAUUGGAUAAUUAUUCAUGUGAUUGAUAUAUGUGGAUACGAACUAUCAAGUUGUGAUAUAAGUAUUUAUGCAUGACUAUUAUUAUUCAAGUACAUGAUAUUAUUGAAUUUGAUUAUUAUCUGGAUUAUGAUAAUGUAAUGCUUACCCCCAGUGGUUUUAACCGCCAACUUGCCGGUAUGGGUGAGUAGACGUUGUGCAGGAGUAGUGCUCGGUGAGUCUUGCGUGGGAUAUCGGGAGCUUUCUCCGAUAUUGGGUCGUGUCGGCUCUGAUCUAGGCUUGUUGUGUCGGUCUAGAUUAGGUUGUUUAUAUUUUCCCGUUGGAUUAUGAUUUUGUUGAUGACUACCCGUAUGUUUGGGUUUUGAGAUUUAUCUUUGAGACAUGAUUUAUUUGCUCAUGGCAUGUAUAUAUUGAUCACUCUGAUUUAUAUUCCGCUGCGACUGUCGAAGUUCAUGUACAUGUCUAUCGGUUUUUGAAUUUUGAAUAAGACGUAAUCUCUAUUUCUUGAAUAAAUGUAUUAUUCGCAUGUUUAAUUGCUUAAAUAGAAAUAAGAGCGUUACAUUUCUCACACCCUCUCGACGAUGAAUAAUAUUUGCCGUUUCAAAAAAAAAAAAAAAACAUCAAACAACACCAUUUUUUAUUAUCUGGUUAUUAAUGAAUUGCAACAAAUACAUAUAAUUAAAUAUUAUACCUAAGUAUUCGUCAUUCAUUAAUUACUAAGACUUAUUAGGUUCCGAUCUAAAAAUUGAUUUCUACAACACCCACACAAAUUUGUGACUUUCAACUCCAUACGAUUUCUAAUGCCCUAUAAAUUAGUUUCCAUAAAUCAAACCCUAGUCAGUUAUAGUGAUCUAACUAACAUGUUUUAUCUCGUAAAUAAUCGGUUAACAUCAUUACUAACAUAUAGUUUGGCAUCUAUACAAUCGAUUAAGGAUUUUAUGCAUUGUUAACAUGAGCGAUCGAUUUUUGUCAACCAAGAAACGAUGAUUCCAAUCUUAUUGAUUCUGCCGAGGGGUAGAAUCGCAGCGACGAUGUGUGAGAGAGUGGCGAUUCGAUGAAUCGCGGCGGUGCAGGGUCGAUGAAACAGGGCGGUGAGUAGAGCAUGAUGAACUCUCGAUCAAAGAAACUGAACGCUUUUGGGACAUGGUUGGAAAGCUUCGGGUGCAAGGAACCCUAAGAUUGUCUAAUUGUGUUUGUGUUUGUUUAAUUGUGUUUGUUUGUUUGUUUGUUUGUGUUUUCUAGCACAAGGAAACAAAAUUACGAAGAUUUUAAAAGAUUUUGUGAGAUCUUAUUGUUUUUUUUUUUGGAUUUUGAAAGACUUUUUUUAAUGACUUUUUACAAUCAGGAUUUUGAACAUUUGAUUUCAAUGGAUUUAUAAUAUAGAUUUUAACGGAUAUCAUGAGAUUUUAACAUUUGAAAAGAUUGAAUGAGAUUUUAAAUAGGAAAAUAACAAACCCCAAUAGGCCAAAAAUAACAAAUUAAAAACAAAAUAGAAAGUUAUAGAAAAUUAGGCUGAAAUAAUAAAUAUUAUUAAAUUACCAAUAAAACCCUUCUGCAUCAGAAACCGUGCAAAACUCAUAUUUGGAUUGUAUCUCAUCCUCCUUUGAUAUAAACCAGUUGAAAUUGCAUUGGCAAAAGCGAAAGGAAACUUGAGAAAGGACCCUGGAGUCAUUUUGUCGAUGGUGAACAAUAUAUUGUCUCCAUUAUUGUUCCGAAAGGAAGGAAAUUCGAGAAAUGUGAUAUUUCUAUCGUUGUUUUUUUGUGAAACAACCAAAGCAAAGUGUAGAAGUAGAUGAACGAAAUGAUAUUAUUACAGUUGAU